rnacentral:lncRNA from 1 species
GUAGUAUCCUUAUUUCUUUAUCUUUUCUUUUCCUUUUUCUUUUUAUUUCUUUUGAGUUGGUAAGCAUGCUGGGGAUAAGGAUGCCACGUGCACCUUACCCCCAAGCAUGCUUAUCACCUUAAUACUUGUGCAUAGUUUAUAUAUAAUUCUUGAGCCUCUACGCAUAUAGUUCUUGAGCCGUACGUAGAGGAGGAGCUCAGGUGGUGUGGAGUUUCGUCGACGUCGCGCAGCGGUGCCGUUCGAGCGUGUGUUCGUCGUCGUAGCAUCGCGAGGGGGGCCGGGCGAGGGUCCGAUUCUGCCGUUUUUGUUGUCGCGCCGGAUUGUGAUUAGCGUUUGAGGUGGGUUACAUCGGUUUUACUCCUAAGUUCUUAUUGGUCGACAUGUAUAGAUCUUGAUUUCGGUCAUUAAUUUAGCUCAAAUUCAUGGACUAUAUGUAGAUUGUGAAAUCUGAAUUUUGGAGCAUAUUUUAUAAAUUAAGUAGAUCAUACAUAUUGGACUUGGAAAUUGAAUUAGGAGAAAACCUACGAUUUGGACCUGUCACCAGUUUUAACUACCUGAUUUAGCUCUAGGAGCCGUUAGAAAAUUGUACUGUCGCAGUUAUUCGAGACGAGUACUCCAGGUAGUUUAGAAUGUAUUUACACUCGUGCUCGUCCGCCGAGUGGAUUUUUACAGGGUCGUUCAGGUUGUUUCGGACUGUUGGGUGCCGUCAGAGUUGACGGUGGACCCGUAUCGCCUUUUUGGGCGUCAGAUUGUGCCGAGGGCACUUACCUGUUGGUUGUUAGACCAUUUUGAGUCGAUUACUUGACUUUGGCUAGUUGGAGCCUGUUUGAGCUCGACAGAGAUACGCUGCAUACUCGGUUGGGUAGCGCCCACGAGUGCCACUCCGGAGUCAGGCUUGUGCUUUCGCGUUGGUGUCGCUCAUGCCAGUUGGACUUGCUCUCCACGGACCAGUUGGUGUGGAGGUAGCUGGAUAGUCGCAACGGGGCAGGGACGGGUGUGUUCACAGUCCCAGGGACGGGUAUGUUUAUAGUCCCGAUUGGAUUGGGUCAGAUUGACAUUUUCUACAGUUGGUUAGUGUAGAGCAUGAUAGUGUAGUGAUUGAUAGCGGUAGAGCGUACUUCCUGCUUUUCCUACUAUUCUUGCUCCCUUCUGUAGACUUAGUGGGUGACCGAUGUUGUUUUGGGCGGUACCCACUGAGGACUACUUGUUUUUACAGUAGUUCUCACGCCCAGUUGUUACUCUUGUUUUGCAGAGCCAUAGGUUUCGGCUGCUGCGCCUUCCGCGGAUCAGGAUCGAGGCAAGGGCGUCGCGAGUUAGAGCCCUACCUGACGAGCAGAGUUAGAGGCACCCCUACUGCAGGUAGAUGUUUUGUUUCGAGUUUAUGUACAUAGUUUACCUAACUCGCCAGUGCGAGUAACUCUGUAUUUUGGAUUUGAGCUAUGUAUAUGAAACUCAAUUUGUUUAGCUUUUGUUUUCUCUAGCAGCUCUAUACUACUGUUUGUAGUAUUGUAUGUUUACAGGUACAGCUGUCGCUUCGUGUACAGAGAAAACUCCUUUGUAUACGGCGGGUUUGUCGGCGUGCCCGGGGAACGAGACAUCCGGGGCGUGACAAUAAUGAUGAAUAGACAGCGGCAAUUAAGAUGAUUUAAUUACUGCCGCACACGAGACAAAAGUAGAGAAUACGAUUAGGGCCGUAAAGAAGAGAAUAAACGGCUUAGAUUAAACCGUACAGAAGAUCGUGGCGCAGAAUACGUCAGAGAAUUUGAAUUUGAUUGGACCGGAAAAUACGCCUCGGAUUAAG